rnacentral:tRNA from 1 species
GGUGGCUCAGUGGUAGAGCGCUUGCCUGGCAUGCAUGAGGCCCUGGGUUUGAUUCCCCAGCACCA